ensembl:lncRNA novel transcript
ACACAGAGAUAGCUAAGCAAGUCAUUGUGUUGUCUUCUUGUCUUCUAGUCACAAAUCCAUGCAACAUUUUAUAAAACAAAUAAUCAAAAGGAGGAACUGGAUAAGGAAGAUGUAAUUUCAGCAAAGAAAUGAAAAGUGAUGAUACUGGAAGUGAAAUUUGAAUAGAUGGGGGUAUAGAAGGCAUGGUUGACUAAGAGAAGGAAUGUUGACUACUGCAUGUAUGCAGUCAAGAGGAACUUAAUGACGUCUUUCACCAGUGGACCCCAAAUCCACCACCAGUGAAUCCCAUUAGCCAAAUCCCACUAGAAUAAGCCAACAAGGGAAGUCAAUGCAAUCCAUGAAGGUUGACUGCCUGAGGCCCUGAAGGGGACAGGAGGAGGAAGGAAGGAGUUUGAUUCUGGAGAUUACGGCAAAGAGAAUAAGCAGAAUAACCUAAUAAUAAGACCUUAGUAAUGUACCUGUGUCUCACUGAAUUAUACCCCAGAAGCAAGACUGAAACACAUCUCAAGAUUUGAAACUGUUAUUGAUGAUCAAAAAAUAUUUGCUCCAUUCCUGAGAUAGGAAGCAGCAUCUUCUCCCAAGAUAGGAAACAGUGUCUUGACAGCUUUUUAAGCUAGACAAGAAGACGGUGCAAAGUAAUAUAUGCAAAAAGUGUGGAGUCAAGUGUAUUGUAAAAUGAAGUGCAUAAAUGUGAACAAUGAGAGACUUGAAGCACAGAAGGCUAAAACUACCUUUAACUUCUAAAGAAAUUUUGUGAGAAGCAUCUGAGACUCUUGACAGUUAAAAUCCCUAUCAUUUCAGAAAGUGCAACUGGGGAUCACAUGUAUUUUAAAUAAUUCUAGUUGAGAAUAGUCAAAAGUCGCAUUUAUGAAGGAAGAUUGACAUUUUUAAGCUUCCCAAUGAUUUCAUCAAGCUUAUUUAGUACUCCUAGCCUCAGUUUCUUCACUUGCAAAAUAAGAAUACCAAAAACAGGAGCUUCGUGGAUUAAUUUUAAGAAUUAAAUGGGAAAAUGUUUAUCGACAUUUUAGCACAAGCCUGCUUACAAUAAACAUUUUAAAAAGUUAUCUAUCUUAAUAAAUAUCGAUUAUUUAAAAUGAA